ensembl:lincRNA
GCCUCAAAAUUAAGUAGCAGGCCUUGGAUGUAUAAGGUACAGGAAGGGAGAAAGGGAGGCAGCAAGAUGAAAGGAGAGGUCUAGAAGUCUCCUGGACACAUACCCAAAGGCAAAGCAAGGGAUGGAGGAUUACUUCCCAGGUUCUCAUAACAUGUUACUUGUUAGAGGUCAACUUUGAGAAAGUGACCCAUUUCCAGGGUCCAGGAGCAUGGGUCCCAGAAGGGCUGUGAGAUCAUUAGCAUUGAAAGCAGCAAGAAGGACAAGAAAGGCUUUCAGGUGAUCUCAAGAUGGAAGACCCCCUGUUCCUCUAUAAUCAUAAUAUUCAACGGAUGGAGAUUUGCACUUACUACAUGUACUUGGAGAAGUCAAAUAAUGAACAAUGUAUGUACGACAUCUGGUGGCUCCCAGAUUAUGUUACAUCGACCUUGCCUGGAGUCUGAGCCACAGAGGUUGGUGAUCCUGUUAGCCUGAACCUUUUCUUCUAUUGAAAUCCUACACAGCAUUAACAUGGGUCAGUCUGCCUGUGCUGGCAAGAUGGGAGCUAUUAAAUUUGUCAAAGAUUCCAGUUGUGAUGAAUAUAACAGCCCCAUUUU